rnacentral:rRNA from 1 species
CCCCUAGAUGUUCUGGGCCGCACGCGCGCUACACUGAACAGUUCAACAAGUCUUAACCUUGGCCGAUAGGUCUGGGUAAUCUUUGAACGCUGUUCGUGAUUGGGAUAGACCUUUGCAAUUAUGGGUCUUCAACGAGGAAUUCCUAGUAAACGCAAGUCAUCAGCUUGCAUUGAUUACGUCCCUGCCCUUUGUACACACCGCCCGUCACACCUACCGAUUGAAUGGUCCGGUGAAAUCUCGGGACGGCGGCUUGGUCGCUUGCGUCCGACUGCUGAAACUUGAUUAAACCAUNUNAUUUAGNGGAAGGUGAANUCGUANCA